rnacentral:rRNA from 1 species
GCAGUAGGGAAUCUUCCGCAAUGGGCGAAAGCCUGACGGAGCAAUGCCGCGUGAGUGAUGAAGGUUUUCGGAUCGUAAAGCUCUGUUGCCAGGGAAGAACGCUUGGGAGAGUAACUGCUCUCAAGGUGACGGUACCUGAGAAGAAAGCCCCGGCUAACUACGUGCCAGCAGCCGCGGUAAUACGUAGGGGGCAAGCGUUGUCCGGAAUUAUUGGGCGUAAAGCGCGCGCAGGCGGUCAUUUAAGUCUGGUGUUUAAUCCCGGGGCUCAACCCCGGAUCGCACUGGAAACUGGGUGACUUGAGUGCAGAAGAGGAGAGUGGAAUUCCACGUGUAGCGGUGAAAUGCGUAGAUAUGUGGAGGAACACCAGUGGCGAAGGCGACUCUCUGGGCUGUAACUGACGCUGAGGCGCGAAAGCGUGGGGAGCAAACAGGAUUAGAUACCCCCYRRGAAUCNA